rnacentral:rRNA from 1 species
UACGUAGGGGGCAAGCGUUAUCCGGAAUUAUUGGGCGUAAAGAGUACGUAGGUGGCAACCUAAGCGCAGGGUUUAAGGCAAUGGCUCAACCAUUGUUCGCCCUGCGAACUGGGAUGCUUGAGUGCAGGAGGGGAAAGCGGAAUUCCUAGUGUAGCGGUGAAAUGCGUAGAUAUUAGGAGGAACACCAGUGGCGAAGGCGGCUUUCUGGACUGUAACUGACACUGAGGUACGAAAGCGUGGGGAGCAAACAGG